rnacentral:rRNA from 1 species
GUGAGAGCGUGCCUUUUGUAGAAUGAACCGGCGAGUUACGAUAUGAUGCGAGGUUAAGUUGAAGAGACGGAGCCGUAGGGAAACCGAGUCUUAAUAGGGCGAGUUAGUAUUAUGUCGUAGACCCGAAACCAUGUGACCUACCCAUGAGCAGGUUGAAGGUGCGGUAAGACGCACUGGAGGACCGAACCAGGGCACGUUGAAAAG